rnacentral:rRNA from 1 species
GGGUCAUUAGGUUGGUCGUGCCACCGGUACGUACUGGUCUCACUGAUUCCUCCUUCCUGAAGAACUGUAAUGCCAUUAAUUUGGUGUUGCGGGGAAACAGGACUGUUACUUUGAAAAAAUUAGAGUGUUUAAAGCAAGCUAACGCUUGAAUACAUUAGCAUGGAAUAAUGAAAUAGGACGAUCGAUCCUAUUUUGUUGGUUUCUAGGAUUGACGUA